rnacentral:lncRNA from 1 species
UCCUCCAGCUGGUAUAAUAAUAACUCCACUACCAUAGACGUCCCCUCCUCCAGCUGGUAUAAUAAUAACUCCACUACCAUAGACGUCCCCUCCUCCAGCUGGUAUAAUAAUAACUCCACUACCAUAGACGUCCCCUCCUCCAGCUCCCACAGAGUAGGAGUGUAUCUGGACUGGCCAGCCGGCACUCUGUCCUUCUAUAGAGCCUCCUCUGACACACUGACCCACCUGAUCACAUUCACCUCCACAUUCACUGAGCCCCUCUAUCCAGGAUUUGGGAUUUAUAAUGUUGGCGACUCAGUGUCCCUGAAAUAAUAACUGGACACACACACACACACACACACUGGACACACACACACACUGGACACACACAUAAAUACACACUGGACACACACACUCAACACACACACACUGGACACACACAUACACACUGGACACACACACACUGAACACACACACACUGGACACACACAUACACACACACACUCACUGGACACACAUACACACACACACUCACUGGACACACAUACACACACACACUCACUGGACACACACACACACACACACUGAAACACACACACACUGGCCACCCACUUAAACUGGACAAACACAAACACUGGAAUGACAUACACACACUCACUCAAACGGACAUACAAACGCACUGGAAACACACUGGACACACACACACACUGGACACACACAAACACACUGGACACACACACACACACACACACACACUGGACCCACUGGAUAAACACACACACACUGGAUAAACACACACACACUGGAUAAACACACACACACUGGACACACACACUCACUGGACACACACGCUUGACACACACACACGCUUGACACACACACUGGAUACACACACACAAACACACUGGAUACACACACACACACACACACACACACACACACACACACACUGGAUACACACACACACACACACACACUGGAUACACACACACACACACACACACUGGAUACACACACACACACACACACACACAAACACUGGAUACACACACACACAAACACACUGGAUACACACACACACACACACACACACACACACACACCCUGGAUACACACACACACACACACACACUGGAUACACACACACACACACACAAACACACUGGAUACACACACACACACACACACACACACACAAACACACUGAACACACACACACACACACUGGAUACACACACACACACACACUGGAUACACACACACACACACACAAACACACUGGAUACACACACACACACACACACACACACAACACACUGGAUACACACACACACACAAACACACUGAACACACACACACUGACACACAUAAACACUGAAACACACAAUUGACAAACACACACUGGACACUCACACGUGUUAAAUCAGUUUCUGGACCACAGGUUCUAGAACAGCUUCUAUCCCAGUUCUACCUGCCUGUUAAAUCAGUUUCUGGACCACAGGUUCUAGAACAGCUUCUAUCCCAGUUCUACCUGCCUGUUAAAUCAGUUUCUGGACCACAGGUUCUAGAACAGCUUCUAUCCCAGUUCUAUCUGUCUGUUAAAUCAGUUUCUGGACCACAGGUUCUAGAACAGAUUCUAUCCCAGUUCUAUCUGCCUGUUAAAUCAGUUUCUGGACCACAGGUUCUAGAACAGCUUCUAUCCCAGUUCUAUCUGUCUGUUAAAUCAGUUUCUGGACCACAGGUUCUAGAACAGCUUCUAUCCCAGUUCUAUCUGCCUGUUAAAUCAUCAACCUAAACUGUUGUCAUCAGACUAUUACAACAUGACUGAACUUUUGGUUCCUUUUCUGAUCUUUUACCACUUUGCAUUUUUUAUGAUAUAUUUUACUGUUUGUGUUUGUACCACAGGAGGUUGGUGGGACCUUAUUUAGGGAGGACAGGCUUGUAAUGGCUGGAGUGGAAUAAGUGGAAUGGUAUCAAACACGUUUCCAUGUGUUCCAUUUCAUUCACUCUGUUCCAGACAUUAUUAUGAGCCGUCCUCCCCUCAGCAGCCUCCUCUGGUAUGUACUGUCCUGUAUGUGACAGAGAUCCAACAAGGAAUUACAAUGUAUGUAUUACUUUUAAUACCUGCAAAUGACAAAUAAACUACUGGAACUCCUUAUGAAUGUCUGCAGCCGACAAGAGGUGAAAAUAUUACCGGAAUAUUCAGCAAAAUGUUGAUGAAGACGUCACUCAAUCCACCCAAAACAACAUGCAGUCUUUCCACAAG